rnacentral:rRNA from 1 species
GAAUCUUGCGCAAUGGAGGCAACUCUGACGCAGCGACGCCGCGUGAACGAUGAAGGUCUUCGGAUCGUAAAGUUCUGUCCUUGGGGAAGAAGGGCAUCUUAGAUGUCUUGACGGUACCCAAGAAGGAAGCCCCGGCUAACUACGUGCCAGCAGCCGCGGUAAUACGUAGGGGGCAAGCGUUGUCCGGAAUUACUGGGCGUAAAGGGUGCGCAGGCGGCCAUUUAAGUCAGGUGUGAAAGACCACGGCUUAACCGUGGGGUUGCAUUUGAAACUGGGUGGCUUGAGUGUCGGAGAGGGUAGUGGAAUUCCCAGUGUAGCGGUGAAAUGCGUAGAUAUUGGGAGGAACACCAGUGGCGGAGGCGACUACCUGGCCGAUUACUGACGCUGAGGCACGAAAGCUAGGGGAGCAAAC